rnacentral:ncRNA from 1 species
AAACAUAGAAGUUUGGUCCUAGCCUUUUUAUGAGUUCUCAGUAAAAUUACACAUGCAAGCAUCCCCGCCCCAGUAAGAAUGCCCUCCAGAUCACCUGGGUCAAAAGGAGCAGGUAUCAAGCACGUAUAAACACAGCUCAUAACACUUUGCUCAACCACACCCCCACGGGAAACAGCAGUGAUACAUUUUAAGCAAUAAGUGAAAGUAUGACUAAACUAUACUAAUAUUUAGGGCUGGUAAAUUUUGUGCCAGCCACCGCGGCCACACAAUUAACCCAAGCUAAUAAAACUCGGCAUAAAGAGUGUUUCAGGUCUGCACUCAAUAAAGUUAAGCUCCAGCUAAAUCGCAAAAAAACUCCAGCUGAAAUAAAAUAUACCACGGAAGUUACUUUAAUGUCCUGAGGACACAACAGCUAAGGCACAAACUGAGAUCAGAAACCCCACUCUGCUUAGCCCCAAACCCAAAUGGUUAUAUUAACAAGACUAUUCGCCAGAGUACAUGCAGCAGCUUAAAACUCAAAGGACUUGGCAGUGCUUUAUAUCCUUCUAGAGGAGCCUGUUCUAUAAUCGAUAAACCCCAAUACACCUCACCAUCUCUUGUCACUCAGCCUAUAUACCACCAUCUUCAGCAAACCCUAAAAAAAAGCAUAAAGUAAGCACAAGUGUGCACAUUAAAGCAUUAGGUCAAGUUGUAGCCCACGGGAUGAUAAGAAAUGGGCUACAUUUUCUACAUCCAGAAAAAUCUCAUUAUAACCUUCAUGAAAUCUGAAGGUUCAAGGAAGAUUUAGUAGUAAAUCAAGAAUAGAAUGCUUGAUUGAAUAAGGCCAUAAGGCACGCACACAAUGCCCGUCACCCUCCUCAAGUAGUGCUCUAGAAAUCACUAUUACUAAUAAUUGUCUACACACGUAUAGAGGAGAUAAGUCAUAACAUGGUAAGUGUACUGGAAAAUGCACCUGGAUAAACCAAAAU